UACGUAGGGUGCGAGCGUUGUCCGGAAUUACUGGGCGUAAAGGGCGAGUAGGCGGCCAACUAAGUCAUACGUGAAAUCCCUCAGCUUAACUGGGGAACUGCGUCUGAUACUGGUUGGCUUGAGUGCAGGAGAGGAACGCGGAAUUCCAGGUGUAGCGGUGAAAUGCGUAGAUAUCUGGAGGAACACCGGUGGCGAAGGCGGCGUUCUGGACUGCAACUGACACUGAGGAACGAAAGCCAGGGGAGCAAACGGG
rnacentral:rRNA from 1 species